rnacentral:rRNA from 1 species
ACUGAAUAGAUACCCGGGUAGUCCACGCCCUAAACGAUGUCAACUAGUUGUUGGGGAUUCAUUUCCUUAGUAAACGUAGCUAAACGCGUGAAAGUUGACCGCCUGGGGAGUACGGUCGCAAGAUUAAAACUCAAAGGAAUUGACGGGGACCCGCACAAGCGGUGGAUGAUGUGGAUUAAUUCGAUGCAACGCGAAAAACCUUACCUACCCUUGACAUGGUCGGAACCCUGCUGAAAGGUGGGGGUGCUCGAAAGAGAACCGGCGCACAGGUGCUGCAUGGCUGUCGUCAGCUCGUGUCGUGAGAUGUUGGGUUAAGUCCCGCAACGAGCGCAACCCUUGUCCUUAGUUGCUACGCAAGAGCACUCUAAGGAGACUGCCGGUGACAAACCGGAGGAAGGUGGGGAUGACGUCAAGUCCUCAUGGCCCUUAUGGGUAGGGCUUCACACGUCAUACAAUGGUCGGAACAGAGGGUUGCCAAGCCGCGAGGUGGAGCCAAUCCCAGAAAACCCGAUCGUAGUCCGGAUCGCAGUCUGCAACUCGACUGCGUGAA